UACGGGGGGGGCAAGCGUUGUUCGGAAUCACUGGGCGUAAAGGGCGCGUAGGUGGCCUGUGGAAGUCUGCGGUGAAAGCCCGGCGCUCAACGCCGGGUCGGCCGUGGAUACUCUCGGGCUUGAGCUUACUAGAGGCAGAUGGAAUUCCGGGUGUAGCGGUGGAAUGCGUAGAGAUCCGGAAGAACACCGGUGGCGAAGGCGGCCCACUGGGCCGGUACUGACGCUGAGGCGCGAAGGCGUGGGGAGCGAACGGG
rnacentral:rRNA from 1 species